UCCAGAAAUCCAGUGGUGAUUCAGCGG
rnacentral:piRNA from 1 species